rnacentral:lncRNA from 1 species
CGGCAGUCACUUUGCGGCCACUAUGAGGACUGAGCUUCCUCUCCCCAGGACCCGCAUGGGAGAGACCGCGGCUUCGAGACACCUGGGGACACCUGGGGACACCUGGGGCGGCGUCCGCGGUGAGGACUGGGAGACGCUGCUGCAUCUCCGGGACACCACUUGGGGCCGAGGCCAAGGACCCACCCAGGAGGGGCCAUGGCUUCGAGACACCUGAGGACACCUGGGGCCACGUCCGCGAUGAGGACAUCUCUGGGACACCUGGGGCUGCAUCUCCGGGACACCUGGGGCUGACCCUGGUACGGGGAAAGGAGGAGGAACACAGAGACGCCCUCGUGAGGUCGGGGACCAGCAGGCACCACAGUCUAAGGCCAAUGAAACAGGCGCCCCUAGAUGAGUGCUCGGUGUUUGUUUUGUUUUGUUUUCUUUUGAGAAGGAGUUUCGCUCUUGCUCCCCAGGCUGGAGUGCGAUGUCGCGAUCUCGACUCACUGCAACCUCUGCCUCCCGGGUUCAAGCGAUUCUCCUGCCUCAGCCUCCCGAGUAGCUGGGAUUACAGUCAUGCGCCAUCACGCCCGGCUAAUUUUGUAGUUUUAGUAGAGACGGUGUUUCUCCAUGUUGAUCAGGCUGGUCUCGAACUCCUGAUCUCAGGUGAUCCACCCACCUCGGCCUCCCAAAGUGCUGGAAUUACAGGCGUGACCCACUGGGCCCGGCCAGUGCUUUGUGUUUUAAGGCUCUUUUGUUAACGCAGUGGAAACAACACAGGAAAUGGAAAAGCAGGCACAUUAUCAUUCUCAGGCCACUGCAUUUAGCCUGGGCGACAGAGCGAGACCUUGUCUCAAAAAACAAAAACAAAUGAAAACAAAAACAAACCAUUUUGUGUGUCUAAUGGAAGUGACCUCGUCAACAACAGUCUUUUGUUGAGAAAGUCUGUUUAAUUGGCAGUGUAUUUGUAAUGGUACAUAAAAUGACGUCUGCUUUAUAAGCAUUCUCAUUCCUAUAUUAGAUGAAAUGUAUUAACUAUAUCAAGCUUUGAUAUUAUACCAUAAAAUUACUUGAA